rnacentral:rRNA from 1 species
AUGGCAGAAGCUUUAGCCCUCAAAUUUGGACUAACACUAGCGCAAAGGGCAGGGUGCAAUCGCCAAAUCAUCAACUCAGAUAAUCUACAGGUGAUUGAGACCAUGCAGGACGGAGGACAGUCAACCGAUGCGGCGGCGGCGGCAAUUUUCGAUGACUGCUUCCACUACGCAUGUGAUUUCAUCAUGACUAGAUUCGAACAUUGUAAUAGAGAGGCAAAUAGAGUAGCACAUGAACUUGAUAAAUUAGCUAGAUUUUCUUCAACUUCAGAUUGAUUCGAGGAGCCUAUCAAUGAAAUUGUACUCAUCCUCACAAACGAUGUAUUGGUUAUUUCUAAUGAAUAA